AUGGAUGGCGCGCCCAGCCUUCGCUUUCAGCGGCCCCGCUGCCCCGGGGAAGGCAGAUUUCGGCGGUUACCCUCCCCGGCUCCCCCCGCCGCCCCGGCUGCCUCCCUCCGUCCCUCCCUGCCCCGCCGGAGAGCGGCCGGGCCGGGCCGGGCCGGGCGGCCCCGCAAGGUCAGCCCCGCGCCCCGCCCGCCGGCCCCGCCGCGCCGCCCGCUACGAACCCUUGUCCUGCGCGCCCGCGCUGCCCAUGGUGGCGGAGCGCGGAUCUGGCCGCGCCUCCGGCCCGCCGCGCCGGCUCUGCAAAGUCCAGGCUGGAGUCCCGACGGCUCGGGGCACGGGGGGGUCCCGGGUGCCCCGCUCCCGGGCGGCGGGGGCAGCUCGCCCGGGCUCCCCUCGCCGCCCGGCGAUGCGACCCCGCCGGGAGAUGCUCAAACCGCCCUAAUUAAAAAAUUAAACACGGCCGCUGGUGCUACCGCCUCCUCCUCCACCUCUUCGCCCGCCCCUUUCCAUCGCUAUUCAGCCGCGCUCCUCUCCAGCCCCGCUUUUCACGGAUUAAACCCAGGAGCGUGGAAACUUCCUGCAAAACACUACGUGCGGUGCAUCGGAAUCUGACACUCACGGUCUAUCUGAAGACUUCUGACUUUAUAUAUUGAAGAUCUACUCUGGAAUUGAAACUGGAAAAGAAGCUGGCAGCCAGCAAUAGGGCAUGAAUCUCCUUCAUCUACCAGUUGUCAACAGACAAGUAGCACUGUUUUUCUGUUCAAGAUGGAAUAUUUUAAAAUGGAAAAGUGAUGGAAUAACAAUCUUUUUCUACAUUUCGUUUCUUUUUCACUUGAAAUUCACAAGUUUUUCUUUUGCAUGGGAGAUUUUUUGGUAAGGCAAAUGGGUAGCAGUGUAUGUGAAUCAUUCUGGGUAUAUGGAUAAAGGGAGCGUUCACUACUCUUUGCUUUCAAUUUCUUUAUCAGGAUCCAUCUUUUGUAUUCAACUGACAGUUACUCUCACUUUCAUCUAACUUCAAUCAUAUUUGCUGUUGAUUUGAUCCUUAUUUAGGCAGUGCUGUGUUUCCUCAAAGGAGAGCCCUUGAUCACAAAUAGAGAUUUUCAUAAUGAUCUAGUAAUUUGUUAUGUUGAGUUGGCAAAUUCAACUGGCCUAAUUUAAGGUUGGGCAAGACACUUAAAGCCAAGUGGGUGCCAGUGAGUGAAAGGCAAUGUGGAAGUCUUAGAGCUAUUCGCUGGUCAAUAUGGUCAAUACUUUUAAAGUUAAAGAUCAUUUGAGUGGUGUAGGUGUCAAGAAAAUGUAACUGUUUUGAGGGAUAACUAACUCCCUUGUAACUUGCUUUUCAGCUUAGCUUUAAACAGCUCUUUGCAUGUUUGUUUGCAAGCAAACUCUCCCUUCAAUUGCUAGAAAUUUUAAAUGGGCUGAAGAGGGUAGAGUCAAGGAAGAAUAUUGUGCACAGAAAAAAUGGAUCAAGUUGAAACUCCCCUCCCAGGCAAAUUUAAGCAAGUUUUUUGAGAAUAUGCAUAAUCAGGAAGCAGUAGUAUAUAAGGGAGAUAAAAGCAGUAAUAUAAGCACGUAGCAAAAGCAGGUGAAUUAUACAUUAAUUUAUGUAUUGAUCACAGUUGCAACUUGGAAUUAUUUAAUGUCAUUUAAUUCAAGGUAUUUAGCAUUUUUAAAAGAAUAAAUAUCUAUUCUACCAUGGUUUUUUUACA
ensembl:lncRNA